rnacentral:lncRNA from 1 species
CUCGCCGCUUGUGGUCUGGGAGUCUGUGAGCCGAAGGCCGACCUCUAGCUGCCAGCCGCGGGUGGUCUCGGGAGGUGGCAGCAAGCAGGGUCCCGCAUUCGGGAGGCGACUGCGCCCAUCGGGCCUCAGAGGACGGAAACACGCUUUCUUCGUUCCCCACUGUGCAAACGCUCUGGGCUAACUCACAUAACCUUUUGGUAUAGCACAAUGAAUUCAAGGGACCAGCAGUAACAUAAAAUAGGAGGACCAUUAGUCAA